CUGUUUGUAAACAAAUUACCUUCGAGUGCAGAGGGUUAACACUUGCAAAAAGACGCUGUUUUCUUUUAAUAUAUAUGUAGCUUUUUAUGUACACAUUUUGGUGGACAUAUUAUGAACACAUUUUGACCCACAGUAAAGUAUGAAUGCACUAAAUUCGAGUGAAGAAAAUAACAGACAAAAAGCUAGAAUUUUACGUAAUGUUGAUUCGAUUAGAGUAGGAACAUAAAUCACGAGAGAUAAAGAUCGCCAGAGAAAAAGCAACAAAAAGUGGAUAAAUCUCUUGCGGUCGUCCACGCUUGAACACGUGGAAACAAUUGUUCCAGCUAGUGUCAAGGUAACGACGGUUCCCCUGUUGCAGGUAUAAACGCGAGAAAAAUCGUGAGCGUGGAAAAAAAGCAAGAGAGGAGAAGGAGAGGAAACGGGACAGAAAAAUGGGUCGCGAGUCAGUUUUGCUAGAUGGUGAUAUGUCUAGCGCGACCAUCUCGGAACUCUCUCUGGUCGAUUUUCAGCGACGGUGAAUAUAUCCGAGUGAAGGUAGGCGCGCAUUACUGGUUCAACUCUCUGUUGACGGAUCACGUGGCAGAUUUCAGGCAACUCCGUUGGCACCGGCGACCGAGCUGAUUUAUUGAGUGGCGCGGCGUUGCUGACCUCACCCUCGGUACGGCUAACGACACCGAGAGUUCUCUUGGUCAAUGCAGGGCAGAUCAAGUGCCCGCCAAAGAACGCACCGAUGCGGACACUGAUACCACUUUCAAAAUUUACAACUAUGAAACAACUGAUAUUCUAAUAUUUUUGUAAUCAUCAUAGUCAGAAUAAUUUAAUUUAGUCAUUUCCAUUGUGUGCAACAAUGUGCGAGUGAGUCAUGCUGCACUAGGAGUGAUGCUCGUGUGACAUUACGGUCACGCGUAUCAAGCAUUAUUUGCAAAUGAUUGUAACAAGUUACACCGGUUUACGAUUAUUACAGUUCAAAAGUGGCCAUCGCUUGAAACAGGGUCAGAAAUAUACUUUAUACAGUACGUCAAAUGUACGGCGUAACGUGAAGAAUUUAAUUCACGGAACCAAUGUUUCCCUAUCUCCAGAAUCAACGAUUAAUCAAGACAAGAGUAAUCAAUGUUUAAUUCGGUAACACUUAUCUUACGUUGUCAAAUAAUCCAAAUUUCUUGUUGAGAAACAAGAUAUUCCUCAUUCAAGACUGAUACAGAAUUGUUUUGCAAACAUGUAGUUUGUGAAAAAUAUAUCAGAAAGGUGCAUCUUGUGAAGCAAGCAGUGAACGAUGAACUUGUUCCAUUGUAACCGAAUACCCUCACAGCAAUUGUGUCUGUCGUGCGAAAACACGUAUUCUUACGUAAUCAUAUGGUGACACUGACCUCACUCUAAAUCCAUAAGUGGCUGUUAAUUAUCGAGUGGCAACGAUUUCAACGAUUUCAACGACGUGGGAAAAACGAGGAAGCUAGUGGUUGGUGGUUCGAGGAUCAUUUUUCAUUUAUACGCUCGGGGGUAAUGCGUACCAUUGAAUGUCGCUAAUUACUCAUACAGGAGAAUCAACAUCUUUUUUCUGAAGAGAUAAAUUAAACGUUCACGAUGCUGGACAAGAUAAUUAAGUAUUGCGGAGUACGGUGUUACGUACACGAUAAUAAUCUCUUGCCGCGUGUCAACGCUCACUUGACCCGACGUCUUUCUCUGUGUAGCCCCAAGAAUGUGAGAACACCAGGAGUUGAGGAACGCAUUGGAUAAGAAAGAACCUAUGGUAUAAGGACACUCAACCCGGGAGAGGUCGAACGUUGCCAGACGAAAGCAUUUCCCUGCUGCAGAAUUCGGAAGAAAUCACUGACAUUCUUCCGUGAAAGGAUAUUUCAGAAACUCAAAAAUCCACUGCAAAAAUAAAAGAACUCUAAAUCCUUGAAUUUUAAAAUUCGAGCGCUAAUAAUCUGUUUUAGAUUAAGAGUUAAUUAUCUGGUCAUCGUUAAAACGGGAACCAGUCAUACUUCCAAUUCAGCAAAAUUAUUUAUAAUGGAACCGCUUAGACGACAGGAUUCCCAAAUCGGGUAACGCAGUGUAACCGAGUGAAAUUUGCAUUUUAUCAUCGCGAACAGGAAGCGUGUCUUUAAAACAUGGCCAUCCCUUUCAGAGGUGUCCGUAAUAGGAACAUUAAAAAAAGGGUCUCUUUUUCUUCCCACGGCUUUUCAUAAUUAGUCGAUCGUGCCGGUAGAUGCGUAUCGUCGUCUCUCCACUAAUUGUUUGACACCGAAUCGUUGCCGUUUAUAUUUCAAAUCGCUUCUUGCUCCUUCGGAGAGAUAACAAGGCAUCUAGCAAGUGUGAACACUGGUUGAUAAUUCACUUACAGCCAGCUAACGAUUUCUCACAUUUAAUUAGCGAGAGAUUGCGAGACAUUGUAUCACAGGGUGAGAAGUGCUCGCUGAGCAAAAAGAUUCUUUUUCCUUCGCUCCAAGUUUUAUAAUUAACCCUUUAGGUUGAGUAUCGUUAGCAUCAAAGAUAUUAAUUUUAAUAAUGCAACGAUGACUUGUACGGCAUGAGAACUUUAUAUUGAUUUUAAUAGGCGGAACUGCUUUAUAAUUUAUGCCAAGUAAUUUCAUGUUGACUGGAUUAAUUAUCCGUCAGAUUUGAUACUUUUUAUUUCUUAAACAAAUUUAAUGUAUAAUGUUAUGAUUGCUGUACUUAAUUUUUGUCUUUCAGAUAAAAGGCUUAAAUCUUGAUGGGAGAAAUUAUUUUACUUUUCUGAAUGAGAUGCAAUCAUUGUAACAUUUAGAGCAAUCUGCAGAUGUCCGACAAGAACAACGAACUCCAAAUGAAGAAUUCAAGCAGGAAGAAUAUUGCAUUUCAGCCGACUGGAUUGAUAAGCGAAGAUCUGGCAUUUCCUGCUAAAGCGUUCGCCACCAGCCUUUACAGCUGUUGUGCACCGUCCAGAAGCUCAGGUCGGAUCGCGAACCCGUUCAGGAACAAGAGGGACCGGUUUAAGCGGUUUACGUCGUGGCUACUUUCUCCGUGACAAUAACAAUGCACUUUGUGCCUCGAUAAUGCACCGAAUGAACAAGUAAACAACAAAAAAGUGAAAUUUGAAUAUCUAAAGCAACAGAUGAAUCUUCGGUUAAUGAAAUCAAAGUAAUACAGUUGAAAUCAAGGUAAUGAAUAUUGCUUAGUGGUACGACCACUAUCUAAUCAUAAGUAACGUUUCUUUCACCAUAAAGUUCACGAAAUUAACUGCCAAUUUUAUUUUAACAAGUUUCCAAAUCUUUCAGGUUAAGAAAAUAUGUGCACCAGUGCAAAAUCUCGAACAGAAGCUAGGUUGCCUUUAUCUAUCAACGAAAAUUAUAGCUCGUUAACGAAGACAAGGAGCGUGUCAGUCGGUAUAUGGUAUCGCGGUCUACGGUAAAAAUAACGAUUAGUGGUUGCGUCCGCGAUAAAUCAUGAUAAAAGGUGCUUGUACCGAGAAACAGUUUUCGUUGCUUCGCAGACGCAAUCUACAACACUGUGGUCGCACCUUCCCCUUCAAGCUCCAAGAUAUUAAAUUUACGUUUACGUCGAUAAGGUUUACAGAGUAAUUAAAAACGACCUACGAAAUCACUAGACAUGAUCAUACUGCUUUCGCUCGUGACAUUGAAGUAAAAUCGUACACACUGAGUUUUCUUAGCUUAAUACUCCUUUAAUCAAUGUAUCCACUUGGCACGCGUUGUGUAACCUCGCAUCAAAACGUACUAAAAGUAUAUGUAAAUAGAAGUACAUCAAUUCAAAUGCUAACAAAUGUGCAUAUCAGUCAUACAACCUACUAAUCUCGUAUGGAUACAUUAGCUGGUAAACAUGUAUAUUCCUUGACUUAACAUUUCAAAGCGGAAGGAGAUGCUAUAUAAUAUUUUGAAGGUUGUGUUUUAUUAGGUACUAGGAGGAAAUGAGUUUUUUAUGUAUGUUAUAAUUAAGAAACUACACACAGAAAUCUUGUGUUUACAAUACUGAAAGCAGCUAAAUUGUUGUUCAAUUAAGACACUAAAAGGGUACAAAGAAAAUGUAACAUAGUGUAGUUUGGUAUUUCAAAUACUUCUCAAUGUAAACGUUUUUAUCUAAUGGUUAUUCGAAGCAGUAUGAUUGAUCGAUUUUCCUAAACAUUAUCAAUUAAUUGUUUGGAGUGCUUCAAGGCUUAAAUUUUUGCUUAUCUACCUGUAUCUAUGUCGUACGAUAAGAUUUGCAACAGGAAAUUUGUUGAAAAUCUUAUUUUUCUUUUCAGAGAUAAAUCCCAGUGGAGAAUUGAUACCAUGAGAUUAUUGUGGGGUUGACAGAGUAAAUAAUGGAAUCUGUAGAAAGUUUAACUACAAGUAUACUCUGGUAAGAUCAAGAAGUUCUCAGAAAAUCCAAAGGAGAAAAAAAAUACUGACACGUUCAAUCCACUCUCGAAACAUUUAGAAAUAUGAUCCCCUAAUUAUUUGGAGCUACAUGGAAAAACGUAGGAAGAAAAAAGGAGGAGUUAGGCGACUCGCAACAUCGCGCAUGAAACCGCAACACUAAGUCUCGUAUUACAUUCGCAAGGUCUCGUAUCGUUAUGAUGCAAAUUUAUGUUGAUACCAAGAAACAAAAAAAAGAAUGCCACGAACAUGCGAAUGUUUUACGUUAUCAUUAGUUUGAGCGUUUAAACGACUUAUUCCCUAAAUAUGCAAACUAGUUUCAAUAUUCAAUUACUUCAUUCGAGAUUGUUCAAUGUACUACGCGUUAGUGUCGGAUAAAAUUUGUUAUUAAAAUCUGCUCGAAAAGCAAUUCAAUUCACGUACACGGUCCGCGCACAAUGAUUUUUUGUUUGCAACAGCAAGCAAGUAAUGCAACCUGUAGUUAAAAUGUUCGUAAAUUAAUCUUGUCGAAUCAACGUUGCAAAGUUAAAACGCUGAACCGUUUAAUUGCACCAGCAGGCAAUUUAACCUAAUUGGUUUUUAUUACUCUUUUCGAGCAAUAUUUCUAACUAGCUGAACGAACGACUAUGUACGUAUCUCGUGCAAGGAUAAUAUAAUUUUGAAAAACCCAUUUGUUUCUUAACACGUUGAAAGCUGCUAGUAAUCAACAUCACAAAAUUAAUGUACUCUAAUAAUUCAAAGAAAUUAAAUAAGAAUAUCAUGGUCUGAAUACGUAUGGCAGUUAAGUACUUUGAGCAUUCUUCGCUAAAAGAAAUAUUAAGCUUUUAUUAGGUUAUGUUAGGUUUCACAUUUGUUGCAGAAUACUGUCUGUACAAAAAUAAGAUAUACGGGGCGGGAAAAUUUUCACGCGUAAUUACCAAAAAAUAUUCGUUGCAGGUCGAACAGCUUACGGUUUUAAAACGCGAUCCUCAACAACAUACACACAAGGGACAACGAUGGCACGGUGAAAAGAACAGUUGUUGGCCGAGGUGGGUCGCGGGUGAAUGGAAGCUAUAUAAAACCGAGUAAAAAGGCGCAAACGAACAAACUACAAAUUGCUCUAGCGGCCGUUUGGAAGAGUAAGGAUAAAGUUAGAGGUAGAGGGGACACGGCUUAAACGAUUGCUCGUGUGUAAACAAAAAUAAUCCUGCAAUUACCUGAAAGUAGGAAAUCCUAAGACAAACGGAAACCGUAAUGUCCAAUUGUCAGUGUAAUAGUUUAACGAAACAGCCUGUAUACGAAAACAUGGUCGGCAGGAGCGAAGGGUGAAAAAAGACGGUAGUCCACGGGAAAGGAGAAUCGUGUAGUAGGUCUACGCUGAUGCACGCGCAUAUGUAUGGUAGUAACACAAGCAUGAUCCGUCAACAGAUGCAACGCCGCCUAAGUGAAUCAGGAAAGUCUUCUGCGGAGGGAGAGUAGGUAGACAGUGACAGGUAAGAGGAUAAGCGAGGUUUUACUGCAAAAGAUCAAAUUGAAAAAAUAAAGGAGAUCCAG